AUUAGAUGUCAGACUUUCAGAGAAGCAAAUUGCUUUUUCCAAUUAUUUGUAAAAUAUCUUAAAUAUUUAUAAAAACAAUAAACAUGAGUAGGGAAUUCGUGUGGGCAAUCAAGAAUGGAGAUUUAGAACAAGUGAAGCUAAUUGUAGAGAAACAGCAUAUAGACGUUAAUCAGGAAGUAGAUGGACGCCCUUCAAUUUUAUAUGCAGCAGAUUACGGCCAAAGAGCUGUUAUGGAGUACUUACUUACUGUUGGAGCUGAUGUAAAUGUAAGUUCAUUCCGUGUAUGACUAGUAAUUAACUAAUUGGAAGUAUGCAAUGUUAUGUGAAGUUCUAAUGUGCCAUACACUCAGAUUUUCCCCACAGCAACAUAUUUUUUUUACAUUUUGAAAAUUGCAGGAUUUACUCGUCUAAAUAAUUAGAAAAAUAAACUAUAACAAUAUGCGCAUCUCA